AUUGAACGCUGGCGGCAGGCCUAACACAUGCAAGUCGAGCGGAUGAAGGGAGCUUGCUCCUGGAUUCAGCGGCGGACGGGUGAGUAAUGCCUAGGAAUCUGCCUGGUAGUGGGGGAUAACGUCCGGAAACGGGCGCUAAUACCGCAUCCGUCCUGAGGGAGAAAGUGGGGGAUCUUCGGACCUCACGCUAUCAGAUGAGCCUGGUCGGAUUAGCUAGUUGGGGGGGUAAAGGCCUACCAAGGCGACGAUCCGUAACUGGUCUGAGAGGAUGAUCAGUCACACUGGAACUGAGACACGGUCCAGACUCCUACGGGAGGCAGCAGUGGGGAAUAUUGGACAAUGGGCGAAAGCCUGAUCCAGCCAUGCCGCGUGUGUGAAGAAGGUCUUCGGAUUGUAAAGCACUUUAAGUUGGGAGGAAGGGCAGUAAGUUAAUACCUUGCUGUUUUGACGUUACCAACAGAAUAAGCACCGGCUAACUUCGUG
rnacentral:rRNA from 1 species